rnacentral:tRNA from 1 species
UUCCUGGUGGUCCUUUGGUUAAGACUUUGCACUUCCAGUGCAGGGGGUGUGGGUUCGAUCCCCGAUUGGGAAA